AUGGAAGAUUCGAACCUGCCGCAGGUUCGGGUCUCACGUAGUGAGACAACGGAGCCGCUUGCGGCGACGGCCCGAAGGGCGAGCAAAGCGAGUCAUCCUGCACGACCCACCA
rnacentral:sRNA from 8 species